rnacentral:rRNA from 1 species
UUGUGAGGUUAAGCGACUAAGCGUACACGGUGGAUGCCCUGGCAGUCAGAGGCGAUGAAGGACGUGCUAAUCUGCGAUAAGCGUCGGUGAGGUGAUAUGAACCGUUAUAACCGGCGAUUUCCGAAUGGGGAAACCCAGUGUGUUUCGACACACUAUCAUUAACUGAAUCCAUAGGUUAAUGAGGCGAACCGGGGGAACUGAAACAUCUAAGUACCCCGAGGAAAAGAAAUCAACCGAGAUUCCCCCAGUAGCGGCGAGCGAACGGGGAGGAGCCCAGAGCCUGAAUCAGUGUGUGUGUUAGUGGAAGCGUCUGGAAAGGCGUGCGAUACAGGGUGACAGCCCCGUACACAAAAAUGCACAUACUGUGAGCUCGAUGAGUAGGGCGGGACACGUGGUAUCCUGUCUGAAUAUGGGGGGACCAUCCUCCAAGGCUAAAUACUCCUGACUGACCGAUAGUGAACCAGUACCGUGAGGGAAAGGCGAAAAGAACCCCGGCGAGGGGAGUGAAAAAGAACCUGAAACCGUGUACGUACAAGCAGUGGGAGCCUCU